rnacentral:rRNA from 2 species
AUGGACGAAAGUCUGAUGGAGCAACGCCGCGUGAGUGAAGAAGGGUUUCGGCUCGUAAAACUCUGUUGUUAAAGAAGAACAUAUCUGAGAGUAACUGUUCAGGUAUUGACGGUAUUUAACCAGAAAGCCACGGCUAACUACGUGCCAGCAGCCGCGGUAAUACGUAGGUGGCAAGCGUUGUCCGGAUUUAUUGGGCGUAAAGCGAGCGCAGGCGGUUUUUUAAGUCUGAUGUGAAAGCCUUCGGCUUAACCGAAGAAGUGCAUCGGAAACUGGGAAACUUGAGUGCAGAAGAGGACAGUGGAACUCCAUGUGUAGCGGUGAAAUGCGUAGAUAUAUGGAAGAACACCAGUGGCGAAGGCGGCUGUCUGGUCUGUAACUGACGCUGAGGCUCGAAAGUAUGGGUAGCAAACAGGAUUAGAUACCCUGGUAGUCCAUACCGUAAACGAUGAAUGCUAAGUGUUGGAGGGUUUCCGCCCUACAGUGCUGCAGCUAACGCAUUAAGCAUUCCGCCUGGGGAGUACGGCCGCAAGGCUGAAACUCAAAGGAAUUGACGGGGGCCCGCACAAGCGGUGGAGCAUGUGGUUUAAUUCGAAGCUACG